rnacentral:rRNA from 1 species
GAUGAACGCUGGCGGCGUGCCUAAUACAUGCAAGUCGAGCGAACGGACGAGAAGCUUGCUUCUCUGAUGUUAGCGGCGGACGGGUGAGUAACACGUGGAUAACCUACCUAUAAGACUGGGAUAACUUCGGGAAACCGGAGCUAAUACCGGAUAAUAUUUUGAACCGCAUGGUUCAAAAGUGAAAGACGGUCUUGCUGUCACUUAUAGAUGGAUCCGCGCUGCAUUAGCUAGUUGGUAAGGUAACGGCUUACCAAGGCAACGAUGCAUAGCCGACCUGAGAGGGUGGUCGGCCACACUGGAACUGAGACACGGUCCAGACUCCUACGGGAGGCAGCCGUAGGGAAUCUUGCGCAAUGGGCGAAAGCCUGACGGAGCAACGCCGCGUGAGUGAUGAAGGUCUUCGGAUCGUAAAACUCUGUUAUUAGGGAAGAACAUAUGUGUAAGUAACUGUGCACAUCUUGACGGUACCUAAUCAGAAAGCCACGGCUAACUACGUG